rnacentral:rRNA from 1 species
UACCAACCCUCCGAGUGGUAGGGAUGAUUAUUUGGCUUAAAGCGUCCGUAGCUGGCUUGAAAAGUCUUCCGUUAAAUCCAGCGUCUAAGCGUUGGAAAGCGGAAGAUACUAUCAAGCUAGGAGGCGGAAGAGGCCGACGGUAUUUCUAGGGGAGGGGUGUAAUCCUAUAAUCCUAGGAGGGCCACCAGUGGCGAAGACGGUCGGCCAGAACGCACUCGACGGUUAGGGACGAAAGCUGGGGGAGCGAACCGGAUUAGAUACCCGGGUAGUCCCAGCAGUAAACUAUGCAGGCUAGGUGUUGGGGCGGCUACGAGCCGCUUCAGUGCCGCAGGAAAACCGUUAGGCUUGCCGCCUGGGGAGUACGACCGCAAGGUUGAAACUUAAAGGAAUUGGCGGGGGAGCACUACAAGGGGUGAAGGCUGCGGUUU